rnacentral:tRNA from 1 species
GGAGAGGUGUCCGAGUGGCUUAAGGUGACGGUCUCGAAAACCGUUGUGCGGCGCAUACCGCACCGUGGGUUCAAAUCCCACCCUCUCCG